CUCUACUGUAUUUUUACUGUAAUGUUAACUUGCUCUGCUUCUUGUUUACACAGAUGGAGGCAACACGUUUAACUGCGAAAACAAAACAGCUCUGAAUCUUGUCCCCUCUGUGAAAAGACUCAGAUACACAGGAGUACCCAUCUCUGGCUCUGAUCCUAUCAUCUCUAUCUCCUGCAAAAGUAAGUAUUAAAAAUCUGCCUCCUCUCCUUCCCUGACUGUGAUCGCUGCGGCUCCAUAGGUAGCCCAUGGAAAACAGCUUAACAAGGUUACCACGGUGUCACACUGGAAGUAGCCAGCAACUCUUUUCAGUU
rnacentral:lncRNA from 1 species